CUACGUGCCAGCAGCCGCGGUAAUACGGAGGGUGCGAGCGUUAAUCGGAAUAACUGGGCGUAAAGGGCACGCAGGCGGUGACUUAAGUGAGGUGUGAAAGCCCCGGGCUUAACCUGGGAAUUGCAUUUCAUACUGGGUCGCUAGAGUACUUUAGGGAGGGGUAGAAUUCCACGUGUAGCGGUGAAAUGCGUAGAUAUAUGGAGGAACACCGGUGGCGAAAGCGGCUCUCUGGUCUGUAACUGACGCUGAGGCUCGAAAGCGUGGGGAGCGAACAGGAUUAGAUACCCUGGUAGUCCACGCCGUAAACGAUGAGUGCUAGGUGUUAGACCCUUUCCGGGGUUUAGUGCCGUAGCUAACGCAUUAAGCACUCCGCCUGGGGAGUACGACCGCAAGGCUGAAACUCAAAGGAAUUGACGGGGACCCGCACAAGCGGUGGAGCAUGUGGUUUAAUUCGACGCAACGCGAGGAACCUUACCAGAUCUUGACAUCC
rnacentral:rRNA from 1 species